UGCAAGUCGAACGAACUCUUCGGAGUUAGUGGCGGACGGGUGAGUAACACGUGGGAACGUGCCUUUAGGUUCGGAAUAACUCAGGGAAACUUGUGCUAAUACCGAAUGUGCCCUUCGGGGGAAAGAUUUAUCGCCUUUAGAGCGGCCCGCGUCUGAUUAGCUAGUUGGUGAGGUAAAGGCUCACCAAGGCGACGAUCAGUAGCUGGUCUGAGAGGAUGAUCAGCCACAUUGGGACUGAGACACGGCCCAAACUCCUACGGGAGGCAGCAGUGGGGAAUCUUGCGCAAUGGGCGAAAGCCUGACGCAGCCAUGCCGCGUGAAUGAUGAAGGUCUUAGGAUUGUAAAAUUCUUUCACCGGGGACGAUAAUGACGGUACCCGGAGAAGAAGCCCCGGCUAACUUCGUGCCAGCAGCCGCGGUAAUACGAAGGGGGCUAGCGUUGCUCGGAAUUACUGGGCGUAAAGGG
rnacentral:rRNA from 1 species